AUUGAACGCUGGCGGCAUGCCUUACACAUGCAAGUCGAACGGUAACAGGUCUUCGGAUGCUGACGAGUGGCGAACGGGUGAGUAAUACAUCGGAACGUGCCCGAUCGUGAGGGAUAACGAGGCGAAAGCUUUGCUAAUACCGCAUACGAUCUACGGAUGAAAGCGGGGGAUCUUCGGACCUCGCGCGGACGGAGCGGCCGAUGGCAGAUUAGGUAGUUGGUGGGAUAAAAGCUUACCAAGCCGACGAUCUGUAGCUGGUCUGAGAGGAUGAUCAGCCACACUGGGACUGAGACACGGCCCAGACUCCUACGGGAGGCAGCAGUGGGGAAUUUUGGACAAUGGGCGAAAGCCUGAUCCAGCCAUGCCGCGUGCAGGAUGAAGGCCUUUGGGUUGUAAACUGCUUUUGUACGGAACGAAAAGCCUCUUUCUAAUAAAGAGGGGUCAUGACGGUACCGUAAGAAUAAGCACCGGCUAACUACGUG
rnacentral:rRNA from 1 species